AGUCGAGAAGUGUCCACGGCGACAGAGCCCCGCCAUGUCUCCUCGCCUCGCCGAGACGGGCACCCGCCGUCUUUCCGGGUCCCCUUGUAUCCAUUUGAAAUUGCGGGAGCGUCCGCCGUCUUUCCGGUGGAACUGCGUCGGUCGCCGGGCCGCCGACGCUGCCCCGAGUAUUCCUCUACUCCAAGCCUGUCGCCUCCCCUCCCUCCGCCCCGGGGCAGCAUUCCGUCGAACAAAUCGUCUCUUUCACAUGUCAGACACCUUUAUUUGUUAAUCACCGGUCUACCCGAGACCAGCCUUUUCUACCCGUCAUCAAUUAACACAGUAUUCAGCAUGAGUUCCACUGGUUAGUGGUUCAGUUCAUCGUUGCAUGGCUUUAUCUUUGUGCUGGAACAACAUCUGUUUCAUGGACCGAUAUAAUCCUCAAAUGAUUGCUUCAAAAGAGGAUCAGACACAACUCAAAGGUUCAGUGUACGCUUGAUGCUGUGGGGGCCUAUCGCCGAGGGUAGGAAUCCCACCAGGUAGAAAACUUCCUCAUCUGUACAUAAAGCAAUUUACCUGGACUUGUUCACUGGGUAGAGCAAUAUGGGACCAUUGUUGUUAUCUUCGAGGAUUUUCCCAAAGACCUGCUUUGCAAAUGUAUGGACAGUGCUUCUUGGGAUGAUGAGAUUAAGCCAUGGGUGUGGGACUUCCCACAAGCCCUUAGCUCUCAGCUUUAUCUCAGAGGAGUGCACCCUAUCCAAGAACUCCAUGUAAGUGACGUCUGUGUGGAAUAAGGACGGUGGUGUGUAUCUGAGUUGAGAUAGUAGUGCAUGGAUCUCCUGUAAACAUAUAUACAUAUGGAAUUCAACCACUCAGGCCAUCUGACAACACUUUAUACACAAACAUCUUUAGUAACACAAGAACAAAUCAUUGGCUCACCUGUUCCAUGAUGUCAGCUUCUUCAGGGUUGAAGUUCUUUGUCAUCUCAAGGCAGAAGAGCACUUUUCUGUCUGUUUCGAACUGGCUAGCCCGUUCUGGGUCCUGUGGAUUGAAUGAUGACCUCCAGUUGUUUAGGAUGCCUGUUCUGUUUAUGCUUACGAAACCUUCAAUGUAGUCGAAGGUCUUCUCUGCUGAAAUAAGCAUCUCCUGAUCCUCGGUGAAGCUCAUGAAAUCUAAGUAGAGAACUCUUAUCCACCUUACCUGUUGUACAUCCAAUGAACUCAUGAGCAUAUGCUUACUAAAAUGUACUAGCAUGGAGUUGUCACAGAUGUGUUCUUUCAAUUUACCAUUUGUGGAGCAGGCUCAAGAGCGAUCCUGGCCCGAGUAAUGAUGCCAAAUUGACCUAGACCACCAAGAGCAGCAUGGAAGAGAUCAGAGUUCUGUUCUGGUGAGCAAGUGAUAAUAUCACCUCUUCCUGCAUUUGAAAAUCAUGGUAGAAAGUUAGCCACAUUAUUUACUCUCCUAGUUGUUCAAAUCAACCAAAUAUAUAGGUCAGUUCAUACCAGUUACAAUCUCCAGUUCGUUCACAUUGCUGAUCUGUGGACCAUGCCGGAAUGUCUGCCCGCUGACACCCGCAUUUGACAACGUGCCCCCGACCGUAAGGUGGAGGUAGUCUGUCCAUGACUUCGGCGCCAAACCAUACUUCAACGUCUUAUUCAAGACAUUUAUCCAGAGUUCUCCACCUGAGGCAUCCACAUACGGUGAUGCACCAGGAUGCACCUGCAUUUUGACACUCUGAAGGGAUUCCAUUCUGAUGACAAUCCCUCCAGCAGCCUGGGACUGCCCAUAUAGCGAGUGCCCAUGCCCACGAGCUGCCACUGUGAGCGUGGAGUGCUCACCCAUCAAGAACACAUGCCUCACGGUUCUGGCAAUGUCAGCCACUGAACCUGGGUGAAGCACAGCGACUGGCGGGAAGCUGGAGAGGUUACCGAAGUCCCUUGCAGCUGCAGGCAAGUCGUGGAAGCUGAAAUGGCCGUCAAGGGGGAGCGUCCCCAGGGAUGCAAGCACAUCAUAUUUAGGCACGUGCUCGGUUGUGACUCUGCUAAGCCCUAGCAACAGGAACAGCUUCAGGUACUGCAGGAGUAAUUGCUUCAUGGCUCUUCUGUAGGAAAAUAAACAAGUUCAGUGGUGAUGUUUUCAGGAGAAAGAUGAAAGAUGUGUAGCAGGGUAGUGGUUCACUGCAAGAGCAGAGGGAUGGUGUGGAGAUGGAGGGAGGGCAGGGGAUUUAAAGGAGAACUUGAAGGGUAUGUGUCUGGGCUGGUGCAGGUAGUGGUGUGGUCAAACAAGUCCAGGGCACUGUUUGGUACUAGAACCUGUGUGACUGUGUGAGGACAGGCUGCUAGGAAAAUUUGGAUCAAAGAUUAUGCUGCAGUGGUGGAAUGGUUCCAUUCUAGAGUCUGGUAUUCGUUCUUUCUGGCUUAUGUUUUAAGCAUCCCGUGACAUCUGUCAGGAAGUGUAUGGAGGAAGGGCAAAAAGAUGCAUUCACUCAGUAUGCUCUGUCUAUCACUAAACAUAUCACUGACUGCACCUUGCCAGGGAGAAGGAAAACAAUGACAUGGCAAAGAUGAAACAGAAGCAGUUAAUGGACACAGAUAUUUAACUUGUGUACCUGAUGUGGAUCUCAGCAGGAUUGAACUUCUGAUCAAGUCAUCAGAUGGUACUAGCAAAUUGAUUCAAGUGGCAAACCUGAUUGCUAUCGAGCAGGCCGACUUGAUCCCUCAAAUUCAAUUGAUGUUCGGCAGGACAAGCCAAGAUGUUAUCUCUGUGCUUUCGGAUUUGUGAGUGACAAGCAUCUUGUUGAGCAUAUCUGAUAAUGCUUAUUCCCAGAUGUUUCUUCAGAUGCUGGGGGACUGUUUUCUGACUUCAUGCUCAUCUAUUUUCGCAGACAUGUAUAUCGGUAAGAAUCCUUCUGUCUGGCCAUUUCUAGACAUGCUGAUAGAAAUGUCCUUUUCAGCAUUUUGAGUUCUGGAAUUUGAUAUUUUGUGGUUGCAAAAUCGUAUGGACAUGGAUCACCUAGGCAUUUUUCCAUUUUUUUAGUGGCCAGGAGCUUUAGCUUGAUAUUGUAGAAUCCCUUUGCCCACAUGGUAUUGCUCGCUACCUGAGCUAGUAAUGCAAUAGUCUUGCAUGUUUCCCAUCGGAUUAUCUGAAGGUUUUUCAGAAUAAAAAUCUCUGUUCUUACGGUACCUUCUCUAAAAUGUCAGAAUUCCUCAGGCCCUUGCCACUUCCUGUAUCUGAUGAUAUCUGUCUGAAGGCAACAUGAAAUAAUGUAUGUAACAAACUGAAUGUUCUGUCUUUUCUGUACUUUACAUGCAUGGCGAUUAGAGAACAUCUUUUGUAUCAUACGCGACAAUCCUGUGGAUAACCGGGAACUCCAUGAAAAGGGGAAUCAAUAACUGACUACACCAUGUAAAUCAAAGUGGAGGUGAGGGGGCCGGGCAAAUAAGCAUUUACUUUUACUAGACAAAAAAGAUAUUGUCAGCUGGAUGAUUUGAUUCACGUCUCACUGAUCACAUGUUCUAGAAGAUAUCAACAGUGAUUAGAGAUUCCAAAUAGACCCAACCAUAGAUACAUCACUCAUAUUAACAUACCUUCAAAUAGAACCAACCAUAACUAUAUCAUUUAUUCUACCCAGUCUUCAGUAGGCGUUGUGUGUGUGAUGGUGUGAGUGUGUGCGUCUACAUUGUAAUCAGUGUUUCUCAAAAGGAAACAAGGUAGCUCUUUCUUCAAUACAGAGAAAAGGUAGUCACCAAGCAACGCAUUCUGGUACUAAGCCCCCUUCCCUGAGGAAAUGUAUGGCAGUAUAAGGAGAGCCGGUCCAGUAAGUUCUCCUUGAAUACCAGAAGUAAUACAUUUUUUUUCAAUGCAUCCAUGUGUAUUUUUGACGUGGUACCAUCAGUGUAUAUAUCGGUAUAUCAAUACAUAUAUGGAAGGUUACAUCCAGUAGACUAAGGUGUUGAAUUGUGAAGCCCGUAAUAUUUCUUACCACUCGAGAUUUGGGAGAUCAUGUGGUAUUACAAUCUGGAGUUAUGCAAUAAGCUGAAAGAACAAUGGUCAAUUGUCACGUGGGAUGUGGCUGGUGCCACCAUUGAUAAUACCUAAUAUCACUAUCCAAGAAUGACUUAUCAACACCUGAGCCCUGUUCAUCUGAAAAGAAGUAUUAGAGUUUGCUUUACGAUAUAUGGGGUCUUGAGGUGUCAACUAUCCCUCCAGGGAGGGUAUAUCUUUUCCAAGAAAGUGAAAGGUAAAAUUCUAAUGGUAGAAGAAUAUCUAUAACGAAAGUGUCCUUCUAAAUGGUUUCUUUAAAAGUAUAUCAACACCGGAGCUCUCUGUACAUCUGCAAAGUAGUACUUAUUAGAGUUGCUUUACGAUAUAUAGGGUCUUGAGGUGUCAACUAGAUGCCUGUAAGAUGGUAGCCGAAUUUGUGUGUAGUAACCCAAGAAACACCUCACAACCCUUAGCCUAUUAGUCAUACGUAUCACACAGAAACCAUUUGCGUUUUCUCAAACAUUGUUGUUUCUGGUAAGAGGCUUUGUGGAGAGAUUGUUUUUUCUCUGAAAUUUUACUAGUAGAUGCAAAAAUAGAAACGUGCCCAUCUCCAUGAAAAGGCUACCACUACCCCCACAUGGUAGGCUGAGUCCAGAAUGGAGAUUAGAUUCCCUGAUCCAUGACAUGCAAUUCACAAAGGUGACAUUGAUCUGCAUCUGCAUGCCUCUUUUGUGACGAAUGCUUUCAGUUGUUCCUUUGCUGUUUCCAUCCACGCUGUCGAUUACCAGUAGGCUCGGCGCCUGAUCACAGUAGGAGUCCCCCACACAUAGCCAAAUCAGUGGAUGGGGCCACCCACUGCCGAAAUCAGUGGAUGGUAAUUGGGCAGGUUGUUGGCUCUGCUUUUGGUAUGGAAUGCAACCUUGGAUCUCCCUGACCCAGUUCUCUGUCAGCCGUUCAUGCUGCUGUCACCAGAAACAUCUGUGCAGCUUCCUUUUACUUGGGAUCAUUUUAAAAGAUGGAAUAGUGUGUAAGGUAAGGUAUGCUGCUGAACGGUGAUAGUGCGAACUGGCCGAACACCUACAGCUCCAAGAACUCACAAGGAAAACAGGAGUCGGCCAGGGACAAUUUCACCACUUUCAGAAGCCCUGAAUUGGAAAACUCUCGUGAAGCAAAGCUUCUUGUGUAAAACCAACAUAUCUAUAGCACAAACAGUGGAGCUGGAGCCUAGCCAAACAGGGCCCUUGCUUCCACUUCUACCGAUCGGCUGCAGGGCUGUGGUAGAAACAAGAGCGAAGAUUUAUAAUUGAUUAUAUCAUCUGUUGUUUCUGAACUCUUACUGCUCGUUUGAGUCAUGACUUCAGGUAGCUAAUUUUACCUAAAUGCGUUCUUAAGUAACUGUUUGCCAUGAAAAAGGUAAAUUCUCAAAUAUAAGAAAAGGAACAAGGCUGAAGAGGGAGAAACCACCCACCUUUUACUUGAAAGUGGGUGAGGACUGAAACUAGCUAUGUGCAACCUCGCUUCCCUAGCUAGUUCAACUCCAGGAGAGUUCUCAGGUUCUCGUGAUAUGGACUGUGAACUGUUUUGUUUGGGCAUUAUUUAGUAAAAAGAAUUAAGUUUAGCCAAAAGCUGGUCUGAGUUAUUUUCCUAUUUUUACUCUUGAGUUUUCUGAAAAAACAGUAGAGCUGAUAUUUCAUAUGAUCAUAGUUUUAGUUUUAGAAAAGGUUUUGUUAUCCAAAUUUUAUGCUAAUAUGCUUUUUGGAAAUAAAAUUUAUGCUAAAAUUAAGAAAAAAAAGUUGGAACUAGAUGCUACUCCCUCUGUUCUAAAAUAUAAGGUGUAUUUGUUUUUUUAAGUCAAACAUGUGCAUCUUUGACCAUGUUUUUUACAAAAAAUAUAUCAAUAUCUACAGUAUCAAAUUGGCAUCAUUAGAUCCAUCACGAAAAGUAUUUUCAUGUUUUAUUUAUUUUGUAUUGUAGAUGUUGAUAUUUUAUUUCAUAAUCUUGGUCAAACAUAAAUAAGUUUGAUUUCCACAAAAAUUGAUACACCUUAUGUUCUGGGACGGAGGAGUAUCUAGCUUCUCCAUUUCUGGCUUCAAAACUAGGCGUGCUCCGGAGUGGCGGAGUGCCCUGCGUUUGAAAGCUGGAGCCACAAAAUCAUCCAAGAUUCUUCGUCGAUGGUGAAGUGCUAUUUUGGCCCCCGCAAAAACGAAAGUUAUUUCUGCCCGUCCAAACUGUAUGUAUGGUUGGUAAAAAAUUAUUACUUGUGUAGGGGACAUUUUGGUUCCAACAUGGCAGAAAGCGAGAGAUGGCGAAAAGGCGAGCAAGAUGGAGGCCUGGGAGUGAUUUGUCGCCCGGGCCGGCCUUAGAAUUGCAGGUAAGUGGACUCUGAUGGGCCCACAGUUCACGUGCAGCGUUUGACACAAAUUCUGACUUUGACACGUUGGUGCUGGCGUGUCGACUGCCGAGCAUAACCCAUAACUGUAAGGGCCCAUUUGAUAUAUACCUUUAGAACGACUACGUACGAUCACACCACUUCCUAAAAAAAAACCCACUUUGCCGAACUUUACCGCAGCAGCCAUCACCAAGCAAAUUAAAAUGUUAGCCGUACCUGCAAUGUGUCAUUUGGCUGUGACGUUGAUCUUUCUCUUUUCUUUGUGAGAAAAACCUGCGAUCUAUUUAUCAACUAUCGUAGUAUAAAGAACACCAAAAUUAAAAAAUACAUCUAGGUCCUUAGAGCAACUCCAAUGGGGUGAUCCAUUUUGUCUGCCACUGUCCGUUUGGGUCGGUGCGGACACAAAAGGCGGCCCAACACGCCGACCCAAACAGACACGCGUCCGCAUGCCGACCCAUUCCCGGCCCAUUUUUUAGCCGGAUUUGCAUCGGCACGGACAUGCGCAUGCCUACUCCUCCCCCUCGGGCCCGCUGGUCGGUGGCGGCCACAACCAUUUCCCCUUCAUUUUCCCCAAAACCCUCCCGCCCGCGCGCGCUCCCGUCCCAAACCCGCCAUGGACGACGACCUCGACCUCAACGCCGCCGCCAGCCUUGCCUCCCUCGCCUCGUCUGGCAUGACGACCGCCCCUCCGGCAAAGG